rnacentral:lncRNA from 1 species
CAAGAUUUGAUCUUGCAUUCACUCUCGGACUCCUUCUCAUAAUUGUUGUGAAUUUUUACAUGAACGACCUAGAUGUUAGCCUCACUGAUUUGCUUAACAUGUUGAAAACUGUUGAGAGUCACUUUUAACCAAGAAAGACCAAGUCUUACUGGUAGGGACCAAAGGAUUUUCUAAAAAGAAGAAAGAUUCAAAGAAGGUAAAUAGAAAGGCAAAACAAAGGAUAAUAAGAACAAAACUGAUACGGAUAACAAAAGAGUUUGUUUCCAUUGCAAUAAGCCUGGACAUUAGAAAAGAAACUGGGAGAAGCAUCUUGUAGAGGCUAAGCAGAAGAAACUUAGUGAAGCUUCAGUUACAUAUACAG